GCCCGCUUGGCUAAGUGGUAUAGCGUGUCACUAGUAGCUACCCCUGAAAACUCAGGGAUCCCUCAUGGCAUGACAAGAUCAGCGGUUCGAUUCCGCUAGUGGGCA